GAUGAACGCUGGCGGCGUGCCUAAUACUUGCAAGUCGAGCGAACAGACGAGGAGCUUGCUCCUCUGACGUUAGCGGCGGACGGGUGAGUAACACGUGGAUAACCUACCUAUAAGACUGGGAUAACUUCGGGAAACCGGAGCUAAUACCGGAUAAUAUAUUGAACCGCAUGGUUCAAUAGUGAAAGACGGUUUUGCUGUCACUUAUAGAUGGAUCCGCGCCGCAUUAGCUAGUUGGUAAGGUAACGGCUUACCAAGGCAACGAUGCGUAGCCGACCUGAGAGGGUGAUCGGCCACACUGGAACUGAGACACGGUCCAGACUCCUACGGGAGGCAGCAGUAGGGAAUCUUCCGCAAUGGGCGAAAGCCUGACGGAGCAACGCCGCGUGAGUGAUGAAGGUCUUCGGAUCGUAAAACUCUGUUAUUAGGGAAGAACAAAUGUGUAAGUAACUAUGCACGUCUUGACGGUACCUAAUCAGAAAGCCACGGCUAACUGCGUG
rnacentral:rRNA from 1 species